rnacentral:lncRNA from 1 species
CACAAAGCUUCCUGAUGGCUGUACGUGAUUUUGGGCGUGCGUCUAAAAUAAUUCUGAAGUAAAACAGUUAAAACAUCUAUAUAGUGUAUGGAUUCACGGAAAAUUCUAACCAAGGCUAAAUGCAUACAGUUAAAUGCGUGAUUAUUUGUUUUCUUAACACAGUACUUUAACUGAAACAACAUACAUUUAUAUAUAAUGUGUGUGUGCAACUGUAUUUUAAGUAGUAAGAGGAUCCUCUUAGGAUUCACUUUGUGGGAAUCCAAGAGAUCUCCACAUCUUAGCCGUUCAUCAUACAUUGUAUGGUCAUUUUUCGUUAGAUAUUAUUUGUGUUCAAUUUUAAAUAAAAAAAGUCAAAUGAUUUUUUACCGAUACACUAAAUAACUAGGAUGUGGGAUCUAUCCCCACAAAGUAGAUCCGGAUGGGAUCCAAUUCCUUUUAAGUAUGUUAAAUUGAGAAACGAGAUAGCUAACCUAGCCCAAGUUCUCGAAAAAGAGUUCCAUUCCGCGUACUCGUAUUGCAAGCAAAUCCGUAGUUCUGGUUAUCCCACUUGCCGGAGCACACUAUCAAGAGUCUCCACCUGUAUAUCUAGAUCCAUUUUUCUGUUUGGAUUGUACCAACUACCCUCUAUGGAGUGCCCAGACUUUACGUACCGCUUCUCCGCAGCCGCAAUUUCAUGGAGUUUAUUGGUGGUACCAGCACAGUCUGAGCAAGCAAAGGAGGUAGUUGAUACGAUCCAACUUGACAGAUAAAUACUGGUGACAUUAGAGAUAGUAGAUGGAGGUUGAGACGUUAGCCAUGAGGAAGAAACAAAUGGUGAAAUUAAAUCUGGGCGAGCAAAAAAAAAAUGAAGUAUUGAAUGUAGCAGGAAAGAUGACUGAGGUUAGUGUUGUGUUCACUUUUAUAGAAGGGACUUGCAAGAUAGAGAUGGUUGACAAGAUAAACAGAAUACAUGAGAUAAUUACAAAAUUAUUGAGAUGAACAUCAGAUAUGGUGGACAUAUUUAAGAGAUUUC